rnacentral:rRNA from 1 species
UACCAGCACCCCGAGUGGUCGGGACGAUUAUUGGGCCUAAAGCAUCCGUAGCCGGUCCUGCAAGUCUUCCGUUAAAUCCAGCUGCUUAACAGAUGGGCUGCGGAAGAUACUAUGGAGCUAGGAGGCGGGAGAGGCAAGCGGUACUCGAUGGGUAGGGGUAAAAUCCGUUGAUCCAUUGAAGACCACCAGUGGCGAAGGCGGCUUGCCAGAACGCGCUCGACGGUGAGGGAUGAAAGCUGGGGGAGCAAACCGG